AGGGAGAGAAGAGAAAAAAAAAAAAAACAAAAACCUUGAAUGAAGUACUUGAUCCUGACAGAAGGAAACGGGGACCCUCUUUCUAGAACCCAAUGAUUUCACAAUGGAUGGAAACCAUGCAUCCUGAGAGCACCAGGUUUCUUCGUGGUGAUGGGGGCGCUGAGGAAAGAGGAGAACAAAGUGUUACCUCUACCCAAGACUCCUAAGUGGGAAAAUGAAAUCUAGCUAAAAGGGUGUCGUGUUUCAAGAAGACACUGAACUCAUCUGAUCAUUCAACAACUUCAAGAGAUGGGUUUAAGGAUCCCCAUGGACACCCAGGCAGUCAGGUUCACAAAGCAAAAUGGGACAGCACACGAGACUCAACAUUUCCCGAAGCUCUACAGCCUUCUUUAAAAUGACCAUUCAUUCGUCUACCCAAGGAAAACCUUCGUCUCUGGA